CUUUCACGCCGCAAAAGCAGACACGUGGGUGACGUUGGGGCGGCGAACCGCAUGUGGACCCAUGGAGCUGGAGUGCUGCCUGUGUAGAGGGAAGUAAAGGAGUCACGAGCGGAUAAAGUUGAAGACACUCUGAUUUGGACGAGUCCUUUUGUAUCCGCUGUGACCAGGAGAGGCCUAAGAUAUCCAAAAAGCAAUCGAUGGAUGGGACCAAAGCACGGCCGAGCGUGGCUAAGGUUGGACGUAGAGGCGAGUGGAUGCUUGAACCCCCGCGGGACUUGACGAGGUCACAAAGAAUCGACAUUUUUUCAAGCAGUUUGAAAAGGAGUGCAAUUCUCAAGGUGGAGAAGCCAAGGACAGUGGGAUCCCAAAAACCACCCCCCCCCGGCCAAAUGAAGCAACAGAUGCAGAUAGCUGCCUAUCUCAAGAGUCCGACAACUUUUCUCAAAGCUCCAAGGACUCCUCUUUUGCUUGGAGUCACUUGUGUCAGUGGGGAGCAGAGGUGUGAUCUGAACCCAAGGCUUCUUUACUCCAAGCCUGUACUCUUUCCCUUGUGUCACAA